CAGCAAUGGCUCAUCUGAAGCUUCUUCUUCUUCUGUGUGUUGGCAUCACAGUCAGCACAGGAGUAGAUUUGCACAAAAGGAUCUAUGGAGGCCAAAAGUGUCCAGACACUGAGCGUCAGUAUCACGUGAAACUAAAGGCAACCAGUGCAACACAUGAAAGUCUCUGUGGUGGCUCACUGAUCCAUGAACGGUGGAUUCUGACUGCAGCCCACUGCUGGAAAAAUGAACCUGGAUGGGAUAUGUAUGCAACUUUAGGAGUUCAUCCAAGUCCAUGG